rnacentral:tRNA from 1 species
GCCCGGGUGGCGGAAUUGGCAGACGCGCUACCUUGAGGUGGUAGUCCUGGUAACGGGGUGGAGGUUCGAGCCCUCUCUCGGGCA